UGGCCGAGCGGCGUCCGGGGCGCGGAGCUGCGGGCCGUUGGGCAUGGACUCUCAGAUCGCCGGGGCCCCGGCGCUGGGGGCGGCGGAGCCGCCGCCGGGUCUGCCGGUGCUGAGCACGCGGGAGGCGCCCCCCCGCUUGGGGGCUGCCUUUGCCCCAGCUGGCCGCUCCGGUCAGGAGAGAGAGACCGAGAAGGCUGCGGAUCGACUAGCCAGCGGAGCACAGAGCAUCCCUCAUGAUAGUCCUGCCCACGGUGAGGGCAGCCAUUGUGAAGAGGAAGGCUUUGCUGUGGAUGACGAGGAUUCCGAUGGGGAACCGAACCCCUGGGAGCUGUCAGAAGGGGUGUCCGGCUGUCCCCCCAGGGAACAGGCUGCUGAUCUUUUUAACGAGGACUGGGACUUGGAGUUGAAAGAAGAUCAAGGGAAUCCAUAUGAUGCUGACGACAUCCAGGGCUGCCUUUCUCAAGAGGUCAGACCCUGGGUGUGCUGUGCCCCGCAAGGAGACAUGAUCUAUGACCCCAGUUGGCACCAUCCACCUCCACUGAUACCCCAUUAUUCCAAGAUGGUCUUUGAAACGGGACAGUUUGAUGAUGCCGAAGACUGAGGGCAUAGCUUUUGCCUGGCGGUCAGGACCAUCUGGCAAAAGGUGCCCAGGCCUUGAUCAUGCAGAGAACCUGAUGGACCCAGAGGGGCCGUGGGACAAGGAGGACCCGUGAAGAUGGAUAUUGGAUGACAUCAUGCACUGCUUAAGGAAGUGAGAACCCCAGAAGGCCCAGAUGGAAGCUCGGGGUCGGAAAUUGGGAUGGUCAGAGAGACAACAGUUUUGCUUCUUGAACCCCCAAAAUGCAGGAGAUGCAGAGUUAACAGAAGCCUAGAUGAGAACGACUUACUGCUGGGGGCAGGGGACCAGGCCAUCAGAGGCCCCAGGGGAUGGUAGGGCCACAAGAUGGAAGGAGCUUGGGUUCCUGUGUCACCACAUGGAGAAAAGCUGCCUGUCCACCAGGAACACUGAGAUUUACUGAGGAUAGGAUCUGCAUGGCCCUCUGAAGGCUUUCCCUGCCCAGUCCUGCCUCCUCAGCCUUUAUCUUUCAUAGUUAUGGCCCUCCACCAAAUCUUUCACUCCUAACGCCAGCUCUGCCUCUAAGUCCAGCAUCUGCUUCCUCGACGACCCAUAUCGACAUAGGUGGUGACAAUGAGAAGUUCUAUGCAUGUUUCUGAGCUUUUAGCCAUUCUACAUAAAAGCCAAGCAUAGGAUUUCUACCUCAAGUAAUGUUCGACAUACCACCAACUUCGGACUUGACACAACACUUGAAAGUAUAAGAAUUGAGUUUACGACAAGAUGGCCGCCACGUGCCUCGAGCCCCAGAGUCCGAGCUCAGCGGCCUGGGAGCCACGAUCCCGGGAGCCUUAGAUGCAACCUGAAACGGAUCAAGGAAGGGACCUGAGCAGGGGAGCGGGCCAGAAGCACAAAAUGGUGGAAGAGUCUGUAAGAACUCUGAGAAAUCAUAGAGGAAAGACUAAUGAAAGACGGGAGACAAAAGAGAAAGCAACAUGGAAAGCACGUCCUAUAGUAACAAAGAUGGCCAGAUAACACUGAAAAAAGAAGGGGAUGAUUGGAAACAAGACGACUGCUUUCUAGAAGUCCUGGCGGUUAGUAAUCAAUAAAGUCUGAUGAAUGUGGAAAAACAGACCACAGUAAAAAUGUGUUACAGCUGAGUGUCUUGCAGUGCAAGCGAGUGUGAAUUAAGUGCUAAACACAUAAAUAUAUGAAAGUAGUUGUAUCUGUUGUAACUCACGCCACUACAGGAACUUUUAAGAGUUGCUAAUAAAAUAAUAAUGCAUUUUAUUU